AAUGGGUCAGCGACUUAUAUUCUGUAGCAAGGUUAACCGAAUAGGGGAGCCGAAGGGAAACCGAGUCUUAACUGGGCGUUAAGUUGCAGGGUAUAGACCCGAAACCCGGUGAUCUAGCCAUGGGCAGGUUGAAGGUUGGGUAACACUAACUGGAGGACCGAACCGACUAAUGUUGAAAAAUUAGCGGAUGACUUGUGGCUGGGGGUGAAAGGCCAAUCAAACCGGGAGAUAGCUGGUUCUCCCCGAAAGCUAUUUAGGUAGCGCCUCGUGAAUUCAUCUCCGGGGGUAGAGCACUGUUUCGGCAAGGGGGUCAUCCCGACUUACCAACCCGAUGCAAACUGCGAAUACCGGAGAAUGUUAUCACGGGAGACACACGGCGGGUGCUAACGUCCGUCGUGAAGAGGGAAACAACCCAGACCGCCAGCUAAGGUCCCAAAGUCAUGGUUAAGUGGGAAACGAUGUGGGAAGGCCCAGACAGCCAGGAUGUUGGCUUAGAAGCAGCCAUCAUUUAAAGAAAGCGUAAUAGCUCACUGGUCGAGUCGGCCUGCGCGGAAGAUGUAACGGGGCUAAACCAUGCACCGAAGCUGCGGCAGCGACACUAUGUGUUGUUGGGUAGGGGAGCGUUCUGUAAGCCUGUGAAGGUGUACUGUGAGGUAUGCUGGAGGUAUCAGAAGUGCGAAUGCUGACAUAAGUAACGAUAAAGCGGGUGAAAAGCCCGCUCGCCGGAAGACCAAGGGUUCCUG
rnacentral:rRNA from 1 species